rnacentral:rRNA from 1 species
CCUACGGGAGGCAGCAGUGGGGAAUAUUGCACAAUGGGGGAAACCCUGAUGCAGCGACGCCGCGUGAGUGAAGAAGUAAUUCGUUAUGUAAAGCUCUAUCAGCAGGGAAGAAAAUGACGGUACCUGAGUAAGAAGCCCCGGCUAACUACGUGCCAGCAGCCGCGGUACUACGUAGGGGGCAAGCGUUAUCCGGAUUUACUGGGUGUAAAGGGAGCGUAGACGGCAGGGCAAGUCUGGAGUGAAAGGCGGGGGCUCAACCCCCGGACUGCUCUGGAAACUGUACGGCUGGAGUGCAGGAGAGGUAAGUGGAAGUCCUAGUGUAGCGGUGAAAUGCGUAGAUAUUAGGAGGAACACCAGUGGCGAAGGCGGCUUACUGGACUGUAACUGACGUUGAGGCUCGAAAGCGUGGGGAGCAAACAGGAUUAGAUACCCCGGUAGUC